AAGCUCUUUCACCGUUUCUCUCUUGUCUUCGAUGUUGUGUGAGAGUCUUCUCUCUGACUCAAAUCCAGAGCUCGUUGGGAGAAAAAGAUGAAGCCAGUGAUAGGCACUGUGGUGUCCAACAAAAUGCAAAAGUCGGUGGUUGUGGCCGUCGAUAGACUCUUUCACAACAAGCUCUACAAUCGUUAUGUCAAACGUACUUCCAAGUUCAUGGCUCACGAUGAAAAGGACUCCUGUAACAUCGGCGAUCGAGUGAAAUUGGAUCCUUCAAGGCCUUUGAGCAAGCAUAAGCAUUGGAUUGUUUCAGAAAUCAUAAAGAAAGCACGCAUUUAUUCUGCACAGGCUGCUGCUGCUGCUGCUGCUCUCAACUCCUCCUCCUCCUCAGCCUCCAUUGCUGAGAAGUCCCCUGUUUCUUCUUCCUAAGGUGAUUGAUUUAGUUAUUGCUUUUUGUGGUUAAUUGUAUCAGAUUUUGUUUCACUUGCUAGUUCAGAGUAGUGUUCUUUUGUACGUUUUAGCUAGUUUUUGUCGAACUGCGUGAGAAAUUGACUUUGAUGUGUUUCUGAAAUAAAUCAUCCACAUUUGAUAUUUGAUAGUUCUGUAUCUUACGGUCUAAGCUUGUUAGGCAUCUUGAGCUUCCAUUCUUAAGCUCUUGGAACCCAUUUUGUGCUGCUACAUUUUCUUUGUCAUACCCACUACGAAAUUAUAUAGCUUGUUUUGCAGUUCAGGAGCAAAACUCAGGCAGGCUCGAAAAAUGUGUUUCACACACUGGUAGCUGAUACUAGAGUAGCAUGCAUCAUAAACAGAGAAUAUGGUAACUGAGACCUGUAGUGUAGGUGAUGUUGAUCGGAAUUUAAAAUCCUGAUUAGCUGUGUAAUCAAUGAAUCUUAAGUUGAAGAUAUUCUAUUGAAGGUUGAUGAA